rnacentral:lncRNA from 1 species
CCAUUGGCAGUAAUAUCUUUGACAUCCUGUUGGGGCUGGGUUUCCCCUGGGCUCUGCGCACUCUGGUGGUGGACAACGGAUCAUUGGUCUACAUCAAUAACAAGGGCCUGGUGUAUUCUGUCGUCCUGCUGCUGGCCUCUGUCUUCCUCACAUUCUCCUAACCUGCCACGUUUGUUCUCCUAACCUCCCAAGUUAGUUCUCCUAACCUGUCACAUUAGUUCUCCUAACCUGCCACAUUAGUUCUCCUAACCUGCCACGUUUGUUCUCCUAACCUCCCAAGUUAGUUCUCCUAACCUGUCACAUUAGUUAUCCUAACCUGCCACGUUUGUUCUCCUAACCUGCCACGUUAGUUCUAACCUGCCAUGUUAGUUAUCCUAACCUGCCACGUUUGUUCUCCUAACCUCCCAAGUUAGUUCUCCUAACCUGUCACAUUAGUUAUCCUAACCUGCCACGUUUGUUCUCCUAACCUGCCACGUUAGUUCUAACCUGCCAUGUUAGUUAUCCUAACCUGCCACGUUUGUUCUCCUAACCUCCCAAGUUAGUUCUCCUAACCUGUCACAUUAGUUAUCCUAACCUGCCACGUUUGUUCUCCUAACCUGCCAUUUAAACAAACCAUCAGUAUCACCAUACCGGUGCUAGACAAGUUCAUUGUGUGGCUCCAUCUAUUACGCAAUCACCCAGUCAUAGCCAAGCUAUUCCUUUCUUUACCUCAUGCAACUUUUCUUUCCCAUUUCCAUUAAACCCCUCUCCAUCUGCCCAUCCCCUGUUCUCUCUUCAAAUCCCCCUCUUCCCUUCUUACCUCCCAGGUCAUGAGUGUCCAUCUGAACCACUGGAAGCUGGACCGCCGUCUGGGCCUGGGGCUGAUAUUACUCUAUGCCGUCUUCCUGCUCUGCUCCAUCUUCUUUGGGCAGAUGUGAGGCUGACGCUGGGGUCGAAGGUCAACCCUGAUUUGCCUUCCUGUCAGCUGCCACGUCUUGAAGUCCUCUGUCUCCCUGAGAUACUCUGUCCUAAAGCCAAAAAAAACAGCCUCAGCUACAUCGUGCUACAGUUAACAUGUGAUGUACCACAAACAGGAUAUCCUUGGGUGACAUUGUACACAAAUACACGUUUUACUAUCCUUGUGGGGACCUAAAACCCUUGCCCUAACCCUAAAUAGCCUUUGUCCACAAGGGAGAAUUUUCCUUGUUUUACUAUCCUUGUGAGGACUUCCGGAUAGUCUCACACACACACACACACACACACACACACACACACACACACACACACACACACACACACACACACACACACACACACACACACACACACACACACACACACACACACACACACACACACGUUGUGUUCUUCUAUCCUUGUGGGGACCUAAAAUGCAUUUCCAUUCAAAACACUAUUUUCCCUAACUCCUAACCAUAAACCACUAACCCCUUACCCUAAUUCUAACCUUAAUGGUAACCCUAAACCUAAAUCCUAAACUUAAAAUAACCUUUGUCCUCGUGGGGACGUGGGAAAUGUCCCCACGAGGGACAACUUUCCUUGUUUCACUUGUGGUGACUCUUGGGGAUUUUAAGGUCCCCUCAAGGAUAGAAGAACCUACUCACAUACACACACACGCGCACACACACGCACACACACACACACACAGCAGUCUUUUCUAUAGCACAAACCUUUUUCUUCCGAAGUUUGUUGUUUUCAUACUUAGCAACACCUAAUGUUCAGCAGUGACCAAUGGAAAAAUAAUACAGUAGACUAAUCCUCGUUUCUUGACCUUACGUUUGGAACGCCCAGUGUUUGUUUUCAAUGUAUGCCCUAGCUGACAUUACCUUGUUGUGUGGUGAUACAGUGUGUACAUUUGUGCAAAUGUGUAGCAGUGCUGGGGUACAGUGGAGCAUAGAACUGUCAGUAAGGUACUAUGAACGAAGCAAUAAGAAAAAUGAACGCUGUUAACGUGUCAUAGACUUAUAAUAGAAGAAGUAUUCGUAAGAGAUGCAGAUUAUGUGACUAGAAUUUGUAAAGUGACUGACCGAGUUCCUCCAAAGAGGAUUCAUUAAUAAUUUUUUGCCUCACUGCUUUUGAACAUGUACUGUUACAAACUAAGUAAAUAAUAGGCUAACGUGAAAUCUACGAUUUUAGCAUUUUUAGAAGUGUUAUUACUAUUGACGACAUGUUUCUAUGAGUGUCACAACCUUUGAUAUCAUGCGUACGGGUCUGUGGUAAUAGUUCACUACGUUUAGGGACGAUCAUUGUUUGUAUUACUGUACAAUGAUUAUUAGGUCUACAAGACCAUACUUUUUACUGUUUCUAAAUGUUUACUAAAUAUUUUACAUAGUUUUACAAAACAUUUAUGUCAGACAGACUAGAUUUGUGGUGUUUUUGAUAUAAGCACUAAAUAACAUAUUCUUCCCAUGAUAUUUGUGAGAAUAUCAUAUACUGUAACUGAAAAAUGAAGUAUAUUUUUGUCACUUUGGAAAGUGAUACUAAAUAAGACUGACACUUCAGAUCAGCACAGUCCACCUAUAUCUGAUGAAAGGAGAAUAAGGUUAUAUUGAAUUGUAUCACUUUCUAAGCCACUAUUCUAUUUAAGCCAGCUAAGAUCCUUUUUAGCACUGAACCGCCUUGAUUUAGAAUCUUUAUUUAUUAUUUCCAACAGAUUUUAUAUAUUUCUUUUGUCAAGUGCUUGUGAUUACAAUACUUAAUGGUUUGCUCUGCAAAAUAGUAUAUUCUCAAAAACGUAUAGGUAUUUAUUUACAGGGUGGAUAUGAUUUCCUGAAAUCAUUUAGAUUUCAGAUCAGAUCAAAUGACUCAAACUUUUUGCCAAAUGAAAGGACUGCAGAAUACAUUCUUUAUGUGAUCGAACUAUUGCACUGAACGAAAACAUAAAUGCAACAUGCAACAAUUUCAAAGAAUGUACUGAGUUACAGUUUAUAUAAGGAAAUGGAAAUAAAUUCAUUAGGCCCUAAUCAAUGGAUUUCACAUGACUGGGCAGGGGCACAGCCAUGUGUGGGCCUGGGGGGCAUAGGCCCAACCACUUGGCAGUCUGGCCCACCGACUGGGCAGCCAGGCCCAGCCAAUCAGUAUAUGCUUUUCCCCACAAAAGGGAUUUAUUACAGACAGGAGUACUCCUCAGUUUCAUCAGUUGUCUGGGUGGCUGGUCUCAGACGAUCCUACAGGUGAAGAAGCCGGAUGUGGAGAUCCUGGGCUGGCGGGGUUACACGUGCUCUGCGGUUGUGAGGCCGGUUGGAUGUACUGCCAAAUUCUCUAAAGGGACGAUAGAGGUGGCUUAUGGUAGAGAAAUUAACAUUCAAUUCUCUGGCAACAGCUCUGGUGGACAUUCCUGCAGUCAGCAUGCCAAUUGCACGCUCCCUCAAAACUUGAGACAUCUGUGGCAUUGUGUUGUGUGACAAAACUGCACAUUUUACAGUGGCCUUUUAUUGUCGCCAGCACAAGGUGCACAUGUCUAAUGAUCGUGCUGUUUAAUCAGCUUCUUGAUAUGCCACACCUGUUAGGUGGAUGGAUUAUCUUCGCAAAGCAGAAAUGCUCACUAAUAGGGAUGUCAUCAAAUUUGUUUACAAAAUUUGAGAGAAAUACGCUUUUUGUGUGUAUGGAACAUUUCUGAGAUCUUUUAUUUUAGCUCAUGAAACAUGAGACCAACACUUAACAUGUUGCGUUUAUAUUUUUGUUCGGUAUAGUUCUGCUCUUUGAUUUCAGCCACUCAACAUUUUUUACAUUUCAAAUUAAGGAGUAGAGGAGUAGAGACUGUUGAGUUGUACAGGCUGGUUGCUGGUGCUGCUAAGUAUCCCAGGUUUAGUCACCUGUCGUAUGUCUAGUGUAGUCCUUUAUUAAGUACCUACUGAGAUAGGAAGACCACCAAGGAGUCCCCACUACCAACCAACCAGUCAUAAAUCCUGCCUCUGUUAGCAGUUCAGGUCAGAGCACCAAAUAAAACCCUGAUUUAGUUCUCACAUGGAAGAUCUGUGUUUGUAGUGUGUUGUUCCUCAGUGUUUUAUUCUGUUAGGUUGGAGCCGCCAGAUAUUCCAGCACUGAGAUUCGUUACUUUAGACAUGAUCUCUGAUCAUUGAGAACUUUUGUAUGUUGUUGAGUGCAAUAAAUAAAAUCUGUGCAAUAACAA